CCCUUAGAUGUUCUGGGCCGCACGCGCGCUACACUGAUGCAUUCAACGAGUGUUUCCUUGGCCGAGAGGCCUGGGCAAUCUUUUGAAUGUGCAUCGUGAUAGGGAUAGAUUGUUGCAAUUAUUAAUCUUGAACGAGGAAUUCCUAGUAAACGCAGUUCAUCAAACUGCAUUGAUUACGUCCCUGCCCUUUGUACACACCGCCCGUCGCACCUACCGAUUGAAUGGUCCGGUGAAGCCUCCGGAUUGGCGUGCACCCUCGGGUGCUGCCGAGAAGUUGGCUAAACCUUACCAUUUAGAGGAAGGUGAAGUCGUAACA
rnacentral:rRNA from 1 species